UUCACCGCAUACCCCCUACGC
rnacentral:tRNA from 1 species